UGGGGAAUUUUGCACAAUGGGGGAAACCCUGAUGCAGCGACGCCGCGUGAUUUAGAAGGCCUUCGGGUUGUAAAAAUCUUUUCUAUGGGAAGAAAAUGACAGUACCAUAGGAAUAAGGACCGGCUAAUUACGUGCCAGCAGUCGCGGUAAUACGUAAGGUCCGAGCGUUGUCCGGAAUCAUUGGGCGUAAAGGGUACGUAGGCGGGUAAGCAAGUUAGAAGUGAAAUCCUAUAGCUCAACUAUAGUAAGCUUUUAAAACUGCUCAUCUUGAGGUAUGGAAGGGAAAGUGGAAUUCCUAGUGUAGCGGUGAAAUGCGCAGAUAUUAGGAGGAAUACCGGUGGCGAAGGCGACUUUCUGGCCAUAACCUGACGCUGAGGUACGAAAGCGUGGGUAGCAAACAGG
rnacentral:rRNA from 1 species